UACAGAGGUCCCCAAGCGUUGUUCGGAUUUACUGGGCGUAAAGGGUGCGUAGGUGGUAGGGUAAGUUCAAGGUGAAAGCUUCGGGCUCAACCCGAAAAUUGCCUCGAAUACUAUCCUGCUCGAGGGUCGGAAGGGAGACUGGAAUUCUCGGUGUAGCAGUGAAAUGCGUAGAUAUUGGGAAGAACACCGGUGGCGUAGGCGACUAGCUGGGCUGUAACUGACGCUGAGGAACGAAAGCCAGGGGAGCGAAU
rnacentral:rRNA from 1 species